rnacentral:rRNA from 1 species
GAUGAACGCUAGCUACAGGCUUAACACAUGCAAGUCGAGGGGCAGCAUGAAUAUUGGCUUGCCAAUAUUUGAUGGCGACCGGCGCACGGGUGAGUAACACGUAUCCAACCUUCCGGUUACUCGGGGAUAGGCUUUCGAAAGAAAGAUUAAUUCCCGAUGUUGCGUAUCUUUCUCCUGAAAGAUACGCCAAAGGAUUCCGGUAACCGAUGGGGAUGCGUUCCAUUAGGCAGUUGGCGGGGUAACGGCCCACCAAACCUUCGAUGGAUAGGGGUUCUGAGAGGAAGGUCCCCCACAUUGGAACUGAGACACGGUCCAAACUCCUACGGGAGGCAGCAGUGAGGAAUAUUGGUCAAUGGACGGAAGUCUGAACCAGCCAAGUAGCGUGAAGGAUGACUGCCCUCUGGGUUGUAAACUUCUUUUAUACGGGAAUAACAUGAGGUACGCGUACCUUAUUGCAUGUACCGUUAUGAAUAGGCAUCGGCUAACUCCGUGCCAGCAGCCGCGGUAAUACGGAGGAUGCGAGCGUUAUCCGGAUUUAUUGGGUUUAAAGGGAGCGUANGUGGGAUAUUAAGUCAGCUGUGAAAGUUUGGGGCUCAACCUUAAAAUUGCAGUUGAUACUGGUUU